rnacentral:rRNA from 1 species
UACGUAGGGGGCUAGCGUUGUCCGGAUUUAUUGGGCGUAAAGAGCGUGUAGGCGGCCAGGUAGGUCUGGUGUGAAAACUCGAGGCUUAACCUCGAGAUGUCAUCGGAAACCAUUUGGCUAGAGUCCGGAAGAGGAGAGUGGAAUUCCUGGUGUAGCGGUGAAAUGCGCAGAUAUCAGGAAGAACACCAAUGGCGAAGGCAGCUCGCUGGGACGUUACUGACGCUGAGACGCGAAAGCGUGGGGAGCAAACAGG